CCAAUAGCGUAUAUUAAAGUUGUUGCAGUUAAAAAGCUCGUAGUUGAAUUUCGGGAUCAGUACGCUGGUCGUGCCUUUGGUAUGCACUGGUGUCACUGGUUUCUCCCUUCUGAAGAACCGUUAUGCCAUUUAUUUGGUGUGGCGGGGAAUCAGGACUGUUACUUCGAAAAAAUUAGAGUGUUUAGAGCAGGCAUGCGCUUGAAUACAUUAGCAUGGAAUAACGAAAUAGGACGUUCGAUUCUAUUUUGUUGGUUUCUAGGAUUGACGUAAUGAUUAAUAGGGAUAGCUGGGGGCAUUAGUAUUCAAUUGUCAGAGGUGAAAUUCUUGGAUUUAUUGAAGACUAACUACUGCGAAAGCAUUUGCCAAGGAUGUUUUCAUUAAUCAAGAACGAACGUUAGGGGAUCGAAGACGAUCAGAUACCGUCGUAGUCUUAACCAUAAACUAUGCCGACUAGGGAUCGGAUGAUGUUAAUUUUUUAAUGACUCAUUCGGCGCCUUACG
rnacentral:rRNA from 1 species